GGCCACAAGAGGGAGCUGACGAUCACUUAAUUUUCAUUUGACUUUUACACAUUUAACUUAGUAAAUAUUGCCUUAUUUUGUCUGAGUACGUAAAUUUUAAAGUAGACUAGAAGUUUUGGAAGUCAGUGAUCAAACCAAAAGUCUACUGGCACUGUAAGAAGUAAUGUAGAAACCGAAGUGCAGUUUUCAUCCUCUCCGCGAGGCGGCGGAAGCGACUGAUCGGGUUCAGUGUGACACCUUCAGAUGUUUGUCAACUUGACGCUUGAUUAACAGUCGCUCACCGCAGCUCUUGAAGACUCUUUAAAAGUAAUGAUUCUGCAGAUGACAGCUCAGUGACAGACUCUUAAUGUCAUUUGACAACACGCAUUCCAGCACACAAACAAACAAUACCGACCGACACACGCUGCAGAAACCGGAGAUGUUUCACGCAACUUACCUAUUAGUUUGGGUCAGUUUCCAGCCUGUUCCUCCACACAUCUGGGCUAUGGAUAUAUUUGCCUCCUCACUGUCACCCUCUUCCAUCCAGAACCUCAUCACACAUCCAGACUUCAGAUGACAGAGACUCAGAGCAGGAUGUGGACUGGGAAGCACUCACUAUCCAGAUGCUCCUCAAGGGGAGCUGGAGAAUCCGUUUCCAAUUCCGCUUAACCAAUCAAGCAUUAAAAUAAAUGCUGCUUGAGUCCAGAAACAACAAAAAUCCUUAUAAUAAUAAUGUUUUAUUUUUAUAGCGCCUUUCAAGAACCCAAGGACGCUUUGCUAAAUAAUACAAGCAUUUGGCAAACAAAAUACACCAGACAAUCAUAGGGGAAAUUCAGACAAAACAAGUGCUGACAACAAAGAACUACAGAUUAACAACAAGAGGUCAUGAAAACAUAUGAUGAACACCAAUUAUGUCAAGAAGGUGGUCAUGUGUCAUACAGACAGAAGUUGAGAAAUUGAGAAGCAGAGAGGUAAUUGAGUUAUUUAGAGAACAAAGUGAAUAGAUGAGUUUUAAGUUGAGACUUAAAGGUCUUGAGAGAGGAGGC
ensembl:lncRNA